GACGUAGGGCGCGAGCGUUGUCCGGAUUUAUUGGGCGUAAAGAGCUCGUAGGCGGUUUGUCACGUCUGCUGUGAAAUCCCGAGGCUCAACCUCGGGCCUGCAGUGGGUACGGGCAGACUGGAGUGCGGUAGGGGAGAAUGGAAUUCCUGGUGUAGCGGUGAAAUGCGCAGAUAUCAGGAAGAACACCCGUGGCGAAGGCGGCUCUCUGGGACGGUACUGACGCUGAGACGCGAAAGCGUGGGGAGCGAACAGG
rnacentral:rRNA from 1 species